GGUGAGAUGGCCGAGUGGUUAUGGCGCUGCGUUCAGGUUGAAACUUGGAUCAUUGAGUGAUAGCGAAUAUCAUAAAAUAUCGCAGUGGAGCAAUCCGCGUGGGUUCGAGUCCCACUCUCAUCA